UUUCCAUUUAGAUUCUAUCGGUGGCUUUACCCGGUUUGGGGAUUCAGAUUUACGAGAGGCAGACAAUACUUAGCCAAGUAUUUAAGCGAAAAAUGUGUAAAACAUUUACAGACCAAAAUGGAGGCCAUAUUACUUCAGAUACAGGAUCAACGUACAUCAUUGAAUGGUACUUUUAAAGAAGCUGAUUCACAAAUUUAUCAGUUGGAGGGACACAUCAAACGACUACCAAAUAUGAGGGAAAAUGCAAACAUACUACUGAGGGAUUUGGAAUUAGGUCAAGGUCCAAGCGAGAUUGAAAACAAUGAGGAUUAAUAAUAUAAAGUGGACAGAAAAGUUUAAAUAUUUGUGUUGCAGUAAGUUAGAACGCUGAUUCUUCGUUUUAAAAUCUUGUUGACGUCGAAGACAAAACUAAAUUUGUAUUAUUAAACGGCUAAACUUAAGCUUUGUCACACACGUCACUAAUACUUUCCAACCGUACGAAAAAGGUCUAGCAAAGUGGACAUUUGGAUUGAACACAUCUAAUUAAGGACGCAUUUUUUGUGUUAUACUUGUAGUUGUACAUACUAUCUGUAAACAAAGCAUGAUAUACAGUUAUCGUUAUGGAAUAUAUAGUUGGCAAAAGUUGGCACCUUUGAAAACGGAGAAAAACAGGUUUAACGAUCAAAGAAUG